rnacentral:tRNA from 1 species
GCAUUGGUGUUUCACUGGUAGAAUUCUAGCUUGCCAUGUUGGAGACCUGGGUUUGAUUCCCAGCCAAUGCA